rnacentral:rRNA from 1 species
AUACGGAGGAUCCGAGCGUUAUCCGGAUUUAUUGGGUUUAAAGGGUGCGCAGGCGGGAGAUUAAGUCGGCGGUGAAAUUUUGCAGCUCAACUGUAAAAGGGCCUUCGAAACUGGUUUCCUUUGGUGUAGAUGGAGUAGGCGGAAUUUGUGGUGGAGCGGUGAAAUGCAUAGAUAUCACGAGGAACUCCGAUUGCGCAGGCAGCUUACUAAACUACUACUGACGCUCAGGCACGAAGGCGUGGGGAUCAAACAGGAUUAGAUACCCUGGUAGUCCACGCAGUAAACGAUGAUUACUAGCUGUUUGCGAUACAAUGUAAGCGGCUGAGCGAAAGCGUUAAGUAAUCCACCUGGGGAGUACGUUCGCAAGAAUGAAACUCAAAGGAAUUGACGGGG